rnacentral:lncRNA from 1 species
CAUUUGAAUCUGCGGAAGUACCACUAAUGCUGCAGAAGUAAAACACUUGGGAAAUUCAUCCUUGAUGAUAUAUUUUCCCCUCUGGCUUUUGACUAACUAGAUGCAAAAUGUGUGUCAUUAUCAAUUCAGUAUUGUACAUGAAUAUGUAUACAGCAGAACUACACAGUAAAAUUUACAAAAUGUCUCUGCUUCUUACCUUGCAGACUUUUCAAAAGGCUCUGCAGCUUCAUAUUUAUAGAGCAUUGUCAGCUGUGAUGACAAUGAUCUACCCUGCAGUCACAUAUUUUUUCUAGAUCUACUCAUUGUAAAGUGUGAUAUUAUGGUGAGAACAAAGGUGUGAACUGCUGCUAAAGGCCAAGAGGAACUUCAGAUUAUCUCAGUACUGUUCACUAUUCACUACGUGGCCAUAAGAAGAAGCUUUGUAAUGAUAAUUUUUUCAGAGGAGGCAUACCUCACUGGGUCUUUCUGACACCUUAGACAGCUUUUGAAUCUGUGACUAACCUGAGAUUUUCCUUUAUUUUGAAACAACUAAAAAAUGGCCUAAAAUGGUCUGUUGCAUACUUCUGGGUAUACAUUUUCCCGCAAAUUCUCAGUAUCUCUGAGCCUUGCUGAUCAGACUCAAGUUGAGAAAUAUGAUGAUAUAAACUGCCAUUCAAGUGAAUUUCCUCUGUGGGGUAAACUGAUCAGAUUGUAUGGAAAUUCUGAACAUUUCUGUUGAAUUCUGUAGAAUUAAAAAAAUGACUAUGCAUGAUAUUUCUGUUGGAUUACAGUGACUUGAAUUUGUAGAACUUAUUAAAAGUCCAAAUGCCUUUCAGUCUCAUGGUAAAAAACUGUGAUCUCUAGUCAUAACAAAUAUAAGACAAAAAAAGCAAAAUUUCAUUUCUUUCCUUAGAGUCAAGAAGAAUACUACAAUAACAUGAGAUCAGACCUAGACACAAAAACAUCUCACAAAAAAGGAAAUAAACACUGGACAUUACUGAAAACCCUUAAAAAU